rfam:Trichobilharzia regenti genome assembly, scaffold: TRE_contig0021006
AUCCAACUGACGAGUCCCAAACAGGACAGGCGAAAUACGCAUCCUGGAU